UUCUAUUCCUAAUCAGGCUCUGAAUUGUAGUGAUUUAGCUGAUUUUUGAAAGAUUUUACUAUGUCUAACAACCAAAAAAUAGAGUGUCCGUUACCAUGGCAACACUCGUUUUUCCCACUCAUAUUUAUUUUUUGAGUAGUAUUUAGUUACUGCUUCUUCUAGGCCAUUUAUAGAUAAAAUCUGAAACCCUCAUAAAUCACAUGUAUAUGGCACCCUGCCUGGUUCUUACAAAGAGCUGUACUUAAA
rnacentral:lncRNA from 1 species